rnacentral:lncRNA from 1 species
GAAUAAUCCCUGGUCAUAAUCAUACCAAGUCCAUCUAUGCACUACAGGCCACAGAUGACUUUCAACAUAAUAUAAGCAUGAGGAUGAUGACAAUGAUAUAAGAAUUCAAUAAAACAAGUUCAAGAAUUAAUUUAUCCAGGAACUAAUAACGUCCAAAUUGUCAACAUGAUACUUCUUUGUAGAGUUAAAUUCAAGAAUGAUCAGAAGAAUAUUUCCAUGAAAAGAUACUAGAUGAAGCGCAAAUAUCAAGGAUAUUCCUCUAAUUUCAUGGAGUAUAGAAGUCAAAACUUUAAUCAACUGAGUAUAAUAAGGAAUGGAAUAACAAAAGAAAUCACCAGGCAUGCGAUAAACUGCACAGACAGGUUAUUCCAAUAGAAUAAUGAAUAACGAAACCAG